rnacentral:lncRNA from 1 species
AAAGGUCUUCCUUAGAGCUGGUCAGAUGGCUGAACUGGAUGCCAGAAGAGCAGAGGUGCUUGGAAAUGCAGCUAGAACCAUCCAGAGACAAAUCCGCACCUACAUAGCACGCAAGGAGUUUAUUGCAUUACGACAAGCUGCUAUUCACUUGCAAUCUCAUAGCCGGGGUAUUUUCUUAAGCUGCUCUCUUUUGUUUUUUUUUUCCAAACUUUUCCUGUUUGUAUCUUGUUGCUUUCCAAUGUUAGCAGUUGUUUAACCUUUCCUGUGACAUGCUACAUUUAUAGUCCAACAACCUAUAGACUCACAUGCAUGCCAAUAUGGUUGUACUUGAAUGUGCAGCCAUUUUCUGCAAAUCUACAAGAUUUCACAUUUGCUUAUGAUCCUGGCCUUUUUGACUAUAUGAUGCAUAUAUUUCCUUCUUUUUUUAAAAAAAAAAUAUACUCAGGGUGUACUUGAGGCAAUUAGGAUCAGUUGUGCUGGAUAUCCAACUAGAAGAACUUUCUAUGAGUUUCUUUUACGCUUUGGUGUUCUUGCUCCCGAAGUUUUGGAAGGAAAGUAAGUUAUAAUUCAAAGGGCCAAAAAAAAUAAAAUCCAGCAUACUUUCUGGUUUAUCACGUCGGUCAUUUUUUGCAGAAUUUUAUUUCUCUGAUGAACUUGUCCAUGGUUUCUGUGCAGCCAUGACGAUAAGGUGGCUUGCCAAAUGAUUCUGGAUAAAAUGGGAUUGAAAGGUUAUCAGGUAAUGAAAUGUUUUGUUUUUGCUUAAGAAAGACAAUGGGGUGUGCUUGGUAUGAGGAGGCCAAGCCUGAUUCAGUCUGCUUAUGGUGUAAUGAAUAACGAGAAAACGCAGAUUAUUAAAUCUGCAUUCUCUGACUUUAUGUGGCUGUAUCACUUGUGUAUAUGUUUAACUGUGCAUGUGGCUGCUUGCCUGUGGUACACCUCAUACAUGUUGGCAAACAAAGACCAUCUUUAUGCUGUCUUAUCUAAAUAAUUCACUGUUCCUCGGUUCGAUCACAAGCUAUAGUUAGAGGUUGCUAGCUAGGUCCCCUAAUUUCUGUCCUAUAACAGCCUUUUUAGAAUUAGACUGUUCAAUUGCAAUAACAUCUGCACAUUUUAGAAAGCUGGCAAUCACAGCCACCAUGCCAACUAAGGCUUAAUAGUGUGGAACGCCUGUCACUAAAAGUCCCCAACUAUGACUACCCUUUUUUAUUUUUUUCUGUUUUGGGUUGGUUACUGCAUACAAGGGCUAGCCCAUCCACUUCUAGUCCCAUUCCUGCCCGUUUAUGUUGUUCAUAACACAUUCCACAUGUUCAUCUGUAACUUUCUCAUGUCUAUGUUGCAUCUUGCCAAUGGAUUAUUUGAGUCAUCAGUAUCAAACCAUCUGAAAAAUUGUUGGCUUCACAGAUCGGUAAGACAAAGGUCUUCCUUAGAGCUGGUCAGAUGGCUGAACUGGAUGCCAGAAGAGCAGAGGUGCUUGGAAAUGCAGCUAGAACCAUCCAGAGACAAAUCCGCACCUACAUAGCACGCAAGGAGUUUAUUGCAUUACGACAAGCUGCUAUUCACUUGCAAUCUCAUAGCCGGGGUAUUUUCUUAAGCUGCUCUCUUUUGUUUUUU